UACGGAGGGUGCAAGCGUUAUCCGGAUUUACUGGGUUUAAAGGGUGCGCAGGCGGAUAUGUAAGUCAGUGGUGAAAUCUCUAGGCUUAACCUGGAAAUUGCCGUUGAUACUAUAUAUCUUAAAUGCUGUGGAGGUAAGCGGAAUAUGUCAUGUAGCGGUGAAAUGCUUAGAUAUGACAUAGAACACCUAUUGCGAAGGCAGCUUACUACGCAGAUAUUGACGCUCAUGCACGAAAGCGUGGGGAUCAAACAGG
rnacentral:rRNA from 1 species